rnacentral:lncRNA from 1 species
GAGGCUCGACGGACAACAUGUUGGCUGGGUGUAAUGCAGACUAGAGGCGUUUUCUGGUGGGGUGGAUGUCACAGCCCAGGUGUCGGACCUGGGUCCUGGUAAAGAGAUGCGUGGGGCAGAGUCUCUUGCAGCAACGGGAACUGUCCCUAUACCUAAAUUGCUAGAGGUCUCGCUUAACCCUCACCACGAUCUGCUGUUGUUGGGAUAAGCGCCCGUUGCCUGCGCUGAGGAUGGGCAGGCUGACGUCCAUGAUGGGCUUCCUCCUUUGGUGAGUGGCCACGAGAGGUUCUUUGCUACUCCUGAAGUAGCAACAUCUAUUGCCACGAGCGAGGCUGUCUCUUUAGAGGCGACGACAGGUCAGCAUGGUACUCUCAUAGCGGCAGAGGUGGUUGUCCCGUCUCCUCCACCUUUUGCCGUUGCGGUAACUGCUGUGAUUGGGUUGGGAGCUAGCAACACGAGUAGAUCAGCAGAUGUGGAAGAGAGGUGUCGGCCUGUUUUCGUCGGGGCUGAAUCCAGUAAUCCAGGGGCUGAAGGGAUCGUGGUGGGGCUGUAUUCAUCAGCAGGGAACCUCUCCCCAAGAGGUCAGCCGGUUAUAGAGGUGGUACUACCAUUAGUUUCCAAUGAUGCUUUGUGUGACCGAGAUGACUCUCUCCCAAUGGUUCGUCAACAUAAGGGCUAUCGCUCAAUCGCCCCUUCAGAUAGAACUUUGCACUCUUCGGUACCCAAAUCGCAGAAUUCCUUCCAAGUGUUAUCUGAUGAUUAAUUCUCUCUUUUGGAAUAUAAGAGGUUUGUCUAAACUUUCUCACCUUAGAAGGCUUAAAAAAUUAUUUCGCUAAAUCACAUUCAGCUUCUAGCAGUUUGUGAAAAUCGUAUUAGUAGUAUGCUUGCGGAUGAUUUCAGGCAUAGGCUCCGUUUCAAUAAUGUAGUAUGUAAUACUUCAGUCUCUAUAUGGGUGUUCUAUAAUGGGUCUUUUCAUCUGGUAUUGGUGGGUGAGGGGGAGCAGCAU